AGUGAACGCUGGCGGUAGGCCUAACACAUGCAAGUCGAACGGCAGCACAGUAAGAGCUUGCUCUUACGGGUGGCGAGUGGCGGACGGGUGAGGAAUACAUCGGAAUCUACUUUUUCGUGGGGGAUAACGUAGGGAAACUUACGCUAAUACCGCAUACGACCUACGGGUGAAAGCAGGGGAUCUUCGGACCUUGCGCGAAUGAAUGAGCCGAUGUCGGAUUAGCUAGUUGGCGGGGUAAAGGCCCACCAAGGCGACGAUCCGUAGCUGGUCUGAGAGGCUGAUCAGCCACACUGGAACUGAAACACGGUCCAGACUCCUGCGGGAGGCAGCAGUGGGGAAUAUUGGACAAUGGGCGCAAGCCUGAUCCAGCCAUACCGCGUGGGUGAAGAAGGCCUUCGGGUUGUAAAGCCCUUUUGUUGGGAAAGAAAAGCAGCAGGUUAAUACCCCGCUGUUCUGACGGUACCCAAAGAAUAAGCACCGGCUAACUUCGUG
rnacentral:rRNA from 1 species